rnacentral:tRNA from 1 species
UUUAUUAAUAGCUCAAUAGGCAGAGCAACUGACUUGUAAUCAGUAGGUUGUUGGUUCGAUUCCGAUAGUCGGC